GGCAUAACUUCUAGUGCUUCUCGGGCUA
rnacentral:piRNA from 1 species